rnacentral:sRNA from 1 species
UUUCUUUUUUUUUCCCAGGCAUAUUUUGGCUGCCUCGUGUCGCUGUGUGAGGGAUGUCGUUAAAGACCGAAGCCCCAAAGAGUUUUUUUUUUAAAUGUUGUACAUGUAUAACAGGAAAUAAAAGAAAAAAAAGAGAUUAAACACAACCAGACAUUUUGUUCUCUUGUUCUUAUAAUCUGAUCCUUUUUUUUUUCAGCGCUUAUCUUUCAUUGAAUCAUAAAGAAGUCUAAAAGAGCAAAGGUUUAUAUUUUUUUGUUUUCUGUUUUCAGGUGGACUGAUAGAGAAGUGUAAACCGAGAAAAGGGAAUCGUAAAUUUAUCGACAAGAACAAAGUAGUCUAGAAACAAGUAGACACGUCAGUACUGAGCGCAACAGACCUUGAAAUAUGAAAGAGCACGAGACAGUCUCCAAGAUUGUUCUACUGGAAAUCGAUUUAGAAAAUCCAUAUCUUAAAUUGAAGUCGUCAAACUUGUUGGGUUGAUCCUGAUUGGAUGGAGAUGUUCUGUUUAUUUAAUUUGUUUUUUG